GACGAACGCUGGCGGCGCGCCUAACACAUGCAAGUCGAACGGAGCGUGCCGAGCGGAAGCCUUCGGGUGGAAGCAUGGCACUGCUUAGUGGCGAACGGGUGAGUAACACGUGAGCAACCUCCCUUAAAGUGGGGGACAACAUUUGGCAACGAAUGCUAAUACCGCAUAAGACCACGGAGUCGCAUGGCUCUGAGGCCACAGGAGCAAUCCUCUUUAAGAUGGGCUCGCGUCCGAUUAGCUAGUUGGUAAGGUAACGGCUUACCAAGGCGACGAUCAGUAGCCGACCUGAGAGGGUGACCGGCCACAUUGGGACUGAGACACGGCCCAGACUCCUACGGGAGGCAGCAGUAGGGAAUCUUCGGCAAUGGACGAAAGUCUGACCGAGCAACGCCGCGUGAGUGAAGAAGGUUUUCGGAUCGUAAAACUCUGUUGUUAGAGAAGAACAAGUAGGAGAGUAACUGCUCUUACCUUGACGGUAUCUAACCAGAAAGCCACGGCUAACUACGUGCCAGCAGC
rnacentral:rRNA from 1 species